UAACAAUGAUUUCCCUAGUAACGGCGAGUGAAGAGGAAAGAGCUCAAAGUUGGAACCUGUUUGGCUUAGCUAAACCGGAUUGUAAACUGUAGAAACGUUUUCCUGGCACGCCAGAUAAAUAAGUCCUUUGGAACAGGGCAUCAUAGAGGGUGAGAAUCCCGUCUUUGGUCUGAGCUGUUGUCUUUUGUGAUACGUUUUCAAAGAGUCAGGUUGUUUGGGAAUGCAGCCUAAAUUGGGUGGUAAAUCUCACCUAAAGCUAAAUAUUUGCGAGAGACCGAUAGCGAACAAGUACCGUGAGGGAAAGAUGAAAAGAACUUUGAAAAGAGAGUUAAACAGUAUGUGAAAUUGUUAAAAGGGAACCGUUUGGAGCCAGACUGGCUUGAUCGUAAUCAAUCUAGGUUUCGACCUGGAUGCACUUGCGGUCUAUGCCUGCCAACGACAGUUCUUUCUGAAGGAUAAAACUAGGAGGAAUGUGGCCCCUCGGGGUGUUAUAGCCUUCUAGAUAAUACUUUGGAUGGGACUGAGGAACGCAGUGAAUGCUUAUGGCGAGAUUACUAGGCGCUUUUGUUAAUGGAUGUUAGAAUUUCUGCUUCGGGUGGUGCUAAUGUCUUGCGAUAAAACUCGUUUGGAUAAUUUUAUAUUCACUUAGGUUGUUGGCUUAAUGACU
rnacentral:rRNA from 1 species